rnacentral:rRNA from 1 species
GAACGCUGGCGGCGCGCCUAACACAUGCAAGUCGAACGGAGCUGUUUUCUCUGAAGUUUUCGGAUGGAAGAGAGUUCAGCUUAGUGGCGAACGGGUGAGUAACACGUGAGCAACCUGCCUUUCAGUGGGGGACAACAUUUGGAAACGAAUGCUAAUACCGCAUAAGACCACAGUGUCGCAUGGCACAGGGGUCAAAGGAUUUAUCCGCUGAAAGAUGGGCUCGCGUCCGAUUAGCUAGAUGGUGAGGUAACGGCCCACCAUGGCGACGAUCGGUAGCCGGACUGAGAGGUUGAACGGCCACAUUGGGACUGAGACACGGCCCAGACUCCUACGGGAGGCAGCAGUGGGGAAUAUUGCACAAUGGGGGAAACCCUGAUGCAGCGACGCCGCGUGGAGGAAGAAGGUCUUCGGAUUGUAAACUCCUGUCCCAGGGGACGAUAAUGACGGUACCCUGGGAGGAAGCACCGGCUAACUACGUGCCAGCAGCCGCGGUAAAACGUAGGGUGCAAGCGUUGUCCGGAAUUACUGGGUGUAAAGGGAGCGCAGGCGGAUUGGCAAGUUGGGAGUGAAAUCUAUGGGCUCAACCCAUAAAUUGCUUUCAAAACUGUCAGUCUUGAGUGGUGUAGAGGUAGGCGGAAUUCCCGGUGUAGCGGUGGAAUGCGUAGAUAUCGGGAGGAACACCAGUGGCGAAGGCGGCCUACUGGGCACUAACUGACGCUGAGGC